CUCAGAAUAACCUAAGAUGCCUGCCAUCAUCUCCUUCAAGCCUUACACUUCACCGCCGCAGGCCACCCACCGGAAAUCGCCAGCGGUGGCGGUUGGUCCCAAAGUCCAUCGAAAACUUGACCACGCAACCUCUUUUGUCCCCCAUUCCAAAUCUACUAUUAUCUUCCUCCAAAAAUCAUCCAACCUCUCCGAAUUUCAAAUCCGAGUUUGAAGAACAUCCAACAUUUUUGUUUUCUUUUUCCUUUCUGAUUCCUUCCUCAUCCGACCUCCCUUCGACGUUGGAAAAUUCAUGAAUCUACUACCCUUAUUGUGAGGAGGUGAUUAAAUAUGGUCCUAAUUGGGUUCAGAAUGGCCGGAUUUUGGGCGAGCAAGUAAUCGACUUGCUUCUAACUUUCUUCGGGUCAACGUUUUUUCUUGACAAACUGGCUGAUAUGUAUGUUGAACAUCUCUUGGCUAUCGAAUCCUGAACAAGAAGCCUUGGAUCAUUUGCCUCUUCAUUCUAAAAUGUCAUAUUGACUAUGUGGAUUGACUUCAAUAUUUUGAUUUUGUUCUUGUUUUCCUUACUUUGUGUUUCUAUAUUUCCUUUUAGCUAGAUAGAAUCUAGGUUUGAAUGUAUGUGGUAAUUAUCCCAUUUUAUGUAGGAUUGAAUGUUGUAAGGAUUUUUGAAGUUUAGCUUGAUUACAUGAUUGUUAAAGGGUGAUGGCCAAAUAUGAACUGCACGUUGAUGUUUUUUGGGGAAUUACAUGAGUAUAUGGGUUUCAUUUUCUCAGGGAUUUGAUGUAAAGCUCCUUUUUAAAUUAAUGUCCUGUCAGUCAUGAGUAUCA